GCCCCUACGGGACGCAGCAGUGAGGAAUAUUGGUCAAUGGUCGGGAGACUGAACCAGCCAAGCCGCGUGAGGGAUGAAGGUACAGAGUAUCGUAAACCUCUUUUGUCAGGGAACAAAGGCGGGGACGUGUCCCCGGCUGAGUGUACCUGAAGAAAAAGCAUCGGCUAACUCCGUGCCAGCAGCCGCGGUAAUACGGAGGAUCCGAGCGUUAUCCGGAUUUAUUGGGUUUAAAGGGAGCGUAGGUGAAUUGUUAAGUCAGUUGUGAUAGUUUGCGGCUCAACCGUAACAUUGCA
rnacentral:rRNA from 1 species